GUUUCAGCCUGCGAUGCACCUCCCCGCCCCUCCAGGCGUGUGCCCCCGCCUCUGGCGGGCAUUGCCGGCCCUGAUGCUGGGCGAUCACCUGGACUUUGCCUGCUACAGCCCCCACAUCAACUAUGCACUGGUGGUUCAAGCACUGGCCCAGAGUGAGGUUGGGCCCUUCCUGGCCUUUGAGAUCGAAA